rnacentral:snRNA from 1 species
GCAGCCCCAAUCGGGCGGUAAA